UCCCUACGGGGUGCACCAGGCGCGAAAACUUUACAAUGCGGGAAACCGUGAUAAGGGAACCUCGAGUGCCUGUAUAUGCAGGCUGUCCAGGUGUCUAAAACACACCUGAAGAAAGGGCCGGGCAAGACCGGUGCCAGCCGCCGCGGUAAUUCA
rnacentral:rRNA from 1 species